UUAAACGGGCGAGUGAAGCGGCAAAAGCUCAAAUUUGAAAUCUGGUACCUUCGGUGCCCGAGUUGUAAUUUGGAGAGGGCAACUUUGGGGCCGUUCCUUGUCUAUGUUCCUUGGAACAGGACGUCAUAGAGGGUGAGAAUCCCGUGUGGCGAGGAGUGCGGUUCUUUGUAAAGUGCCUUCGAAGAGUCGAGUUGUUUGGGAAUGCAGCUCUAAGUGGGUGGUAAAUUCCAUCUAAAGCUAAAUAUUGGCGAGAGACCGAUAGCGAACAAGUACAGUGAUGGAAAGAUGAAAAGAACUUUGAAAAGAGAGUGAAAAAGUACGUGAAAUUGUUGAAAGGGAAGGGCAUUUGAUCAGACAUGGUGUUUUGUGCCCUCUGCUCCUUGUGGGUAGGGGAAUCUCGCAUUUCACUGGGCCAGCAUCAGUUUUGGUGGCAGGAUAAAUCCAUAGGAAUGUAGCUUGCCUCGGUAAGUAUUAUAGCCUGUGGGAAUACUGCCAGCUGGGACUGAGGACUGCGACGUAAGUCAAGGAUGCUGGCAUAAUGGUUAUAUGCCGCCCGUCUUGAAACACGGACCAA
rnacentral:rRNA from 1 species